rnacentral:rRNA from 1 species
UACGUAGGGUGCAAGCGUUGUCCGGAAUUAUUGGGCGUAAAGAGCUCGUAGGCGGUUUGUCGCGUCGGCCGUGAAAACUUGGGGCUUAACCCUGAGCUUGCGGUCGAUACGGGCAUGACUGGAGUUCGGCAGGGGAGACUGGAAUUCCCGGUGUAGUGGUGGAAUGCGUAGAUAUCGGGAAGAACACCAGUGGCGAAAGCGGCUCUCUGGGGACCACCUGACGCUGAGGCGCGAAAGCGUGGGGAGCGAACCGG